CCUACGGGUGGCAGCAGUGAGGAAUAUUGGUCAAUGGGCGGGAGCCUGAACCAGCAAAGUCGCGUGAGGGAAGACGGUCCUCUGGAUUGUAAACCUCUUUUGUCGGGGAAAAAAGGCGCCCAAGGGAGGGAGGAUGUGUGUACCCGAAGAAAUAGCAUAGGCUAACUAAGUGACAGCAGCCGCGGUAAUACUGAGGAUGCGAGCGUUAUCCGGAUUUAUUGGGUUAAAGGGGUGCGUAGGCGGACAGUCAAGUCAGCGGUAAAAAUGAGGUGCUAAACGCCGUACAGCCGUUGAAACUGGCAUUCUUGAGUGGACGAGAAGUAUGCGGAAUUCGUGGUGUAGCGGUGAAAUGCAUAGAUAUCACGCAGAACUCCGAUUGCGAAGGCAGCAUACCGGCGCCCGACUGACGCUGAGGCACGAAAGCGUGGGUAUCGAACAGGAUUAGAUACCCCUGUAGUC
rnacentral:rRNA from 1 species